UACGGAGGGGGCUAGCGUUGUUCGGAAUUACUGGGCGUAAAGCGCACGUAGGCGGCUUUGUAAGUUAGAGGUGAAAGCCCGGGGCUCAACUCCGGAAUUGCCUUUAAGACUGCAUCGCUAGAAUUGUGGAGAGGUAAGUGGAAUUCCGAGUGUAGAGGUGAAAUUCGUAGAUAUCAGGAGGAACACCAAUUGCGAAGGCAGCUCGCUGGGACGUAACU
rnacentral:rRNA from 1 species